CUGGGCGCAAGAGGCGAAAGGUCCCUGCUGGCGAAGAAAGAGCUUGGCAGAAAGCUGGCUCCAAGUUGAAUGAAGAGAUCUCUAGUGAUUCUGAACCAGAUGUCCCAGCAAAUAAAA